rnacentral:rRNA from 1 species
CGCCNCGCGCGGCGGGCUUUUUNNGGGCNCUGGCGGGGCUCAGAUUGAACGCUGGCGGUGUGCCUAAUACAUGCAAGUCGAUGCGGAAAGGUUUUGCACAGACUAUUUAACUCGGNUUAUGGGUUGAAUAAUCUGUGCAGAAUACUCGANCGGCGGACGGCAGAGUAACGCGUANGAAUGUACCCCAAAGUGAGGGAUAAGCACCGGAAACGGUGUNUAAUACCGCAUAAUAUCUUCGGAUUAAAGCAGUAAUGNGCUUUGGGAACAGNCUGNGUCCGAUUAGNUUGUUGGUGAGGUAAUGGCUNACCAANGCUACGAUCGGUAGCUGGUNUGAGAGGAUGAUCAGCCUGACUGGAACUGAGACACGGUCCAGACUCCUACGGGAGGCAGCAGUAGGGAAUUUUCCACAAUGGGCGCAAGCCUGAUGGAGCAACGCCGCGUGCAGGAUGAAGGCUUUAGGGUCGUAAACUGGUUUUUAUGUGCGAUGAAUUUGACAGUAACACAUGAAUAAGGAUCGGCUAACUACGNUCCAGCAUCCGGGGUCAUACNUAGGAUCCAAGCCGUUAUCCNGGAAUUACUGGGCGUAAAGAGUUGCGUUNGGUGGNAUUGUAAGCAAGACAUGAAAUUNUGUGGCU